rnacentral:rRNA from 1 species
GAUCCUGGCUUAGAUGAACGCUGGCGGCAGGCUUAACACAUGCAAGUCGAGCGGGGAUAGGGUGCUUGCACCUGAUUCCUAGCGGCGGACGGGUGAGUAAUGCUUAGGAGUCUGCCUAUUAGUGGGGGACAACGUUCCGAAAGGGACGCUAAUACCGCAUACGUCCUACGGGAGAAAGCAGGGGAUCUUCGGACCUUGCGCUAAUAGAUGAGCCUAAGUCGGAUUAGCUAGUUGGUGGGGUAAAGGCCUACCAAGGCGACGAUCUGUAGCGGGUCUGAGAGGAUGAUCCGCCACACUGGGACUGAGACACGGCCCAGACUCCUACGGGAGGCAGCAGUGGGGAAUAUUGGACAAUGGGGGCAACCCUGAUCCAGCCAUGCCGCGUGUUGUGAAGAAGGCCUUUUGGUUGUAAAGCACUUUAAGCGAGGAGGAGGCUUACCUGGUUAAUACCCGGGAUAAGUGGACGUUACUCGCAGAAUAAGCACCGGCUAACUCUGUGCCAGCAGCCGC